GUGCUUUCUUUGGCAGCACAUAUACUAAAAUUGGAAUGCUAUAGAGAAGAUUAGCAUGGCCCCUGGCAAGGAUGACAUGCAAAUUUGUGAAGUAUUUAAUAUUUUU
rnacentral:snRNA from 1 species